ensembl:lncRNA
GGAUUUACCCGCAGGCUGAGGGCAGCGCUGGGCUGGCAAGCCUUGGAGUCAACAUCCAUCCAUUCAUUCCUAAGGGGGGGAAAAGGAAAUACACUAUCCGAACUCAAGAGGCCUAUUUAUUUAUCCCCGUUAGCAGGCAGGACACUUGACAAGCCCACGUCUUGGGGCUCGUUAGCGUCUUUAUUGCGAGAAGAUCUCGCCCGCAAGUUCCCACGGGGGCCAGGAGUCAGCGGGGCGCAUUUUCCUUAAAAAGCCUUCUUCACAGAGUGGGCUGGAAUCGCAACCGUUAAAGAGGCCUCACCGCACAAAGGGGCGUCCCGGCGGUAAUCGGUAAUCGGGAAAUAAAUUUGAUUUUCUGAAUUCUUCGGCAGCUGGUGACAAAGGAGCAGAAUUUCUGCCUAUUUCAUUCGGGAUGAAAGUCUGGGACCACAUGCCAGUCUGUUAGCAAAUUCAGCAAGGGCCAGGCAUUGGUUAUUCAUCUCUCUUCCUCACUUCCGACCACACCUCACAGCUCUGCACAUGGCAGGUUCUUGCUUGCACAGUCUCAGAGACAGCUUCUUACUGAUACACUGGAUGGACCUCAGCUGCAGCUUGAAGGGUCUGAACAUACCAAUAACAGCCAAAAUGACGCCCACCGACUUCUACCCCAAACUGAUUCCUUCUCUGCUACCUUCUCCUUAGAGGACAACAGCUUUGUAACUCGGGAGACCUCCCACGUUCAGUGGGGGUGCUUGGGCAUAUUGUAGAUGGAGACAAAAGGAAAAACUCAGGAAGAUGUCCUGUCUUUAAAUCCUUUCAUAUUUUAUACAUUGUAAAUGCUUCGCAUUAAUUUUUAUUUUUAAAAAUAUGGCAUUAAAGUGGUAUUUAUCUUGA